ACGUAGCGUCGACCCUAACGGCGAGGCGUACGACGGUCUAAGAGUCGAGUGACUGGGGUG
rnacentral:rRNA from 1 species